UUUCCGUAGGUGAACCUGCGGAAGGAUCAUUACAGAGUUCAUGCCCUUACGGGUAGAUCUCCCACCCUUGAAAUUUGUACCUUUGUUGCUUUGGCGGGCCGCGGCCUCCGCUACCGGCUUCGGUUGGUAUGUGCCCGCCAGAGGACCCAACUCUUGUUUUUAGUGAUGUCUGAGUACUAUAUAAUAGUUAAAACUUUCAACAACGGAUCUCUUGGUUCUG
rnacentral:misc_RNA from 1 species